CUGGGGUUUGGGAAAGCAAAAGCCAGAGAUCCUUGAAGACUCUACUUUCUGGUUAUAAUGUGAACUUCCCUCGGGCAAGGUGAUGGAUUCAGCUUUCGGGAAAGCCUUUUUGGGAGGCCUAACUUUUUCUACGCAACGCUGACAACAGAUAUUUCUAGCCCGAGUCAGAGAACCCUUCUUCAUGGAGGUCGCUGUGCUGCGCCUUGCCUUCCCUGGCGUCCUUGAGAUGCUGCCAAGGAGGUCGCUUGCUCUGCCAGUUGGAGAACACAUCCCAUUCAGGGGCUGCAGCUUCAGCUGGUCCCCCUGACAGUCUGCACAAAGGCACAGUGGGGAGGAGCUAGAGAGGACAAGGAGGGACAUAAACUAAAAGCCCUGCUGACACACAUUUCCCUGGAGUUUUCUGUUCAAGUGUGUUGUUUCCUGACAACUUUGAAAAAAGACACAAGGACCACACAAGAAGAACUCGGAUCAGUGAGAAAAACGUGCUGGGUCUGUGAGCUCCCUAGGCAGGAGGAAAUUCUGAAUGAACUCAGUUUUUAGUGGCCAGGAGUGGAGACAUAAAAGGAGCUUUUCAGCCUCUCUGGUUACAGAGAUAAGUACAAAGGGUUCAAACCAUCUAUUGCUCAACACUUGCCGACAGGCUGCUUAGAAGAAAUAAUAAAUAAAUUGAUGGGAGAAUUGCCUGGAGGAUGUGCAGUUAUUUUAUUUGGCUGAAUGAACUUGGUUUCUAUCUCUGGAUCAAACCAUGUCAUCAGAGAGAUGGUAGCCUGUGAUUAAAGGACCAGGGCCAUGGGACUGGGAACCGGCCUCUGGACAGCAGCCUGGGUGACUGUGCUUCCCAAGGGCUGGGCUUUGCUUUAGAAGAAGCAGAAGCCAAAGAAAAAUGGUUCUUUUCCAAUAAGCCUGGUUCUUGCCGACAUCAGCCUUUUGCAGAGCAGAAAUUCAGGCUAAAGUCUCAGUGCCGGGCUUGCCUUUGAGCCUUGUCCUUACAUCGGGGCCAAACAGAUGAAAUAUUAACCACCAGUGCUCUCCCCAAAUCAUUAGUGCUGAAUCCACAGGUAAUGAAUUUGGCUGCAGGCUAUUUGGGGCCUGUUGUUUUUAUUCACCACCCAAAGCACACACUUCUCAGUAAUGAACUCUCAGCGCAUAAAUGAAGGUACGCACACCAUGUCCCCAGAAGACUUGGAAUGUGUCUUCUGCCAGGGACUCUAGCCCUGUGGGCUCCAGAACCCCCAUCAGGAAAAGAGAGGAAGAAAAGAAAAUCACAUAGCUGCCUACCCUCACCAAAGAGAGAACUCUAUUUCUCAAGCCAAGUUGCUGAUCUGAAACAAUUUGGAGGAGUUUUAAAAGAUCUAUAAAAAUAGAUUCAAAGUUAAAUUGUACACUUUUCCUCAUUUCCAUAAUUAUUUUAGAUUGCUUCAUUAGAUUGACCAACAUUAUCAUUUCUCACAAUGAUCCAAGGAGGCUGCCGACUUUGGCCUCAUCUCUGAGCUCCCAGAACAGAAAUCUCAAGAGAAGGGAGUUUCCAGAGGCUUCUGGGCCAACAAGAAGAGACAGAUUUUGAAGAUGGUCUCAACUGCCUAGUGUGGUGUUGACACUUCCAAGUUUUCCUGGUAGUCUAACCACAAUGUAACUUUGAUUAGUGGGGGAAUGGCAAGCUAAUUUUGUAGGGGACAACUCCUAUAUAUUUUUAUCAAAAAAGAAAAGCACAGUUCUAAUCUAGGGAAGCCAUUAAAUUGCCGGUAUAUUAUGCAACCCAAGGUGGAUUGCUCAGCUGCAAGACUGGAGUGCAAUAAAUUCCAUUCAUUACACUGUCAAAGACACUUUGUUUUAUGUACAUUUGUGAUCGCAGGCAUAUUAUAUGUGUGUGUGGUGGGGGAUAGGUUAUAGUAUCAGACUUUUGCUGAUUGCUCUUUGAAAUAUAAAAAUCAUAUAUUUGUAAUAUAAAAACCACAGUUUAAAUGUAAGGUAUUAUUUGAAACUUGUUUCUCUGUACCCCAUUCAUAAAGUCAGCUGGUAAUUAUUUCCUACCUGGCAUCAGUAAAGCCUCUAUUUGUCUUUUAAUUCAACGCUCUGAAUCAUAGUGCAGGGUUAUAGUGAUUGUGUUUAAAAUAUUAUCUUGAAAUAUGCAAAACAGUAAGCUAACAUGAAGUGAGCUUGGUUAUCUGAUGUUUAAAACUAGAACACUGUGAACAAACAGAAGGAGUGGUGAGGAUAGGGAGAGAAAAUAAUUCUACUUGAAUGUACUGCAACGGUAAAUACAUUUGAGAAUCAAUCAUUAUGGUUAAAUGCUGAGCAGUGUCUAAUACAGCAUGACUAAAAUCACAUGAAAAGGUUGGUGAAUGAAUUUGUCUUCAGUGAUUAUCAUGCACCAGGAUUAUUGUGAUGGAAAACCAAGCCAAACUGGUUUAAAUCAAGAGGAAACUUACAGGCCGAUUUAACUAGACAUAAACUGGGAGACUAUUUAUUCCCCGUGGGAGAAACACGCUAAUCCAUCUUUUCCGUUGCCGUAUUCGCCAUGCAGUGGGAGAUGAAUUCUCUCAGUGGUAUGUUCCAGAGCCUUCAAAGGCAAGCUAACCAAACAUUAAAGGUGCUUAAUGAUCUUUUCACAGUGAAUCCUUUCUAUUGUCAGCAGAGACAAAGGCCCUUCUCUUAAGGACUGUAUAGCUUUGGCUCUGAAUGUCCAGAUUUUGUCUCUUGUCCUUGGCAAGGAACUGAGUCUUUUGAAUCCAUACACGUUUGGCAAUGAGAGGCUAAGAGGGUGAGAAUCUCUAACCAGGGAGUUUGGUUCAUGCCCUGGGAGUUGAAGUCCCAGGGAUUCUUAAGCUGAGGUCUGAGGAUUCUUAAACUGUGGUACAUCAACACCCAAGGGACUGGUAAGGUGGAAUUUAGCUAGCUCCCUAAAUUUGAAUGGGAAGAAAAUAACAUCUCUAUUUUUACUAAUCUCUGAAAUUUAGCUUCCCUGUAUUGUGAAUGUAGGAAACAAACUACAGUCAUGUUAGUAAUACUUACAACUUUGUCACCAGUAAAAAUCAUGUGUAUUUUCAUGUCAUGACAUUUCAGGUAUUUCCAAUUAUUAUUUAUACUCUUUACUACUUUGAAAUUAUGGUAAUUAUUAGAUCUCCUACAAGAGCUUGUUAUUUUAUGCAUUAAAGAAGUGUGUAUCUUAAUAAAGUAUUAUAAUUAUAUUUCAAAAUAAUGGAUUUCCUUUGACAUAGUGAAUAAUAUUUUGAGAUAUUUUCAAUAAUUAUAAUGUGAUAUGAAAAUAUCUGUGAUUUCUGUCUCACAAAGUCACAAGUAUGCUAAUAUUAUCAUAGCUUUUCUAUUAUAAUAGAAAGAAAUGCUAUGCUUCAUCAAAAGUGAGUGAAAAUGAAGAUAUAAUAUUUUUUCCUUAUCUUAAUACAUUUGGCCCUUGAACUCUACUUAUAAACAAUUGCACAUAAGAGAACUGUUAAACCACAUAAAUAUUGGAGACUGAGAGUAUGUUAGAUCAAUCCACAGUUAUGCCUGAAUCUUAUCUAUGAUUGCUUGGUCAUGAGAGUAUCCUAUCUAACUAUUUAUCUUCUAUCUGUCAGGCAAUCUUCCUACCUACCUACAUAUUUACUAUAGUAACUAUUAAGAAAGUAUAUAUAGCUCAUUUAUAGAGGUGGUUUUAUUUAAAUAAAAUGUUUUUACCUUUAUAGAGAAGUGAACUAAACAAUUUAAGUAUUGCGAAGGAAAAUAUCUAACCUCACACAGAUUGUUACUGUUCUAGUUUGAUGAUUGCAGGAGUGAGGGAACAAAAAUUUAUAGAACAAAUAUUUUUAUAGGAACAAACUUCAGGUCAGGUGGAUCAUGACCUGGAACAUAUUCAGGGAAGUUAGGACAUCAGAGAAUUCUCUUUCACAACAUGCUUACACGUCAUAUCUUCCUAAUGAGAAAAAAAUCAUUUUAUUGUGAGUUUUCCCCUUUAAAAUAAACAGUAAAAUAUA